rnacentral:tRNA from 1 species
CGAAGUAUAGCAUAUAUAAUGCUUUUUACUUACACUAAAAAUAAAGUUAAUACUUGCUUCGC